rnacentral:rRNA from 1 species
UACGGAAGGCAGCAGUGGGGAAUAUUGCACAAUGGGCGAAAGCCUGAUGCAGCUAUGCCGCGUGUAUGAAGAAGGCCUUAGGGUUGUAAAGUACUUUCAUCGGGGAGGAAAAACAAAACUAAUAAUUUUAUUUCUUGACGUUACCCGAAAAAGAAGCACCGGCUAACUCCGUGCCAGCAGCCGCGGUAAUACGGAGGGUGCUAGCGUUAAUCAGAAUUACUGGGCGUAAAGAGCACGUAGGUGGUUUUUUUAAGUCAGAUGUGAAAUCCCUGGGCUUUAACCUAGGAACUGCAUUUUGAAACUGAAAUACUAGAGUAUCGUAGAGGGAGGUAGAAUUCUAGGUGUAGCGGUGAAAUGCGUAGAUAUCUGGAGGAAUACCUGUGGCGAAAGCGGCCUCCUAAACGAAUACUGACACUGAGGGUGCGAAAGCGUGGGGAGCAAACAGGGAUUAGAUACC